rnacentral:lncRNA from 1 species
AGCUGUGUAUCUCGCGGUUUCCGGCAUCUUGGACCUUGAGUAAUACGUCAUCGACGCAGGGAUAGCACCAAACAUGAGGAUUAUACGCCAUACAAAAUCUGCUUGAGGUACCGUGGAUCUCAAGGCAUCAUCCGCAUAGGCCGGCGCUGGGAACUUAGCAUCAAAUAUAGAGGAAAUGAUAAUAGCAAAGAUGCCACCAGCCAUGAUCCCAAACCCUUGCAUUGCGAAAACAGCUGAGAUAAACGCUCCACGUGUCUUCUUGUUAGCGUAUUCAGACAUGAUUGUUGCGGAUAAAGGAUAGUCACCACCAAUCCCAAACCCUAGCCAAAACCUAAAGAAACAUAGCGUGGCCAUCACGGUUUUUGGCUUGUCUCCAAAAGAGAGACCAGAGGCUAUGGAGCAAAGAACCAUGAUCAUCAACGUCAUGCCAUACACUUUCUUCCUCCCGAGCUUAUCACCAAGCCACCCGAAAAACAGCUGACCGGCAAGGGUCCCACAGAAGGCAACACCGUUGGUGGCAGCAGCAACAUUGGGAGGGAGAGUCCCUGGCUUAUGGGAGCCUUCUUCGUGGUAGUAAAUGCGGCCGAGUAGCUUUGUGACAAGAGAGAUGCAGAAGAGAUCGUAUGCAUCGGUGAAGAAUCCCAUUCCAGCAAUUACAAUCGCAGUAAAAUGGUACCAUUGCGUCUUGGCUACGUCAAGUGCAUUCAAAACUUGUAACUGAUUAUCUGCCAUUCUUCACUUCUGUAAUUUCAUCAAAAAAAAAAUCAACAUUAGUAAUUUUUUAGUAGCAUAUUAAAGCUCGAACAUCUAAAUAAUGGACUGAUCGUAUAUUUUCAAAUAUUACUAAAAAAGUUUCAUUUACUAAAGACAACUCCAUUGUUUUUAAUUUUAUAAAGAUUUGAUAAGCAAUUAUUAUUAUUUUUUUUUGAACUAAUUUUGUUGUUAAGCAAUUAUACAGACAUGAAAAUAGUGAUGUGUAAUUCAUAAGUUAUAUGCUCUACAUUUUUCGGGAAAAGAUGAUAUGGCUCUUUACCUCCACGUAACCAAAUCUUAAAAAGUGAACGAUGAUGUGGUAGGUCUGUCUAUACAUGUAUAUGAAUUAAGGCCUAAUUUCCUAUGAAUUAAUCCAAAACAAAACAAAAAUUUCUAGAAGGGGAGAGGUAAGAUCCAAGUCUAAAACUCUACAAGAGAACUUAUAGUAAUAAUGAUCCAAGAAAGUGGAAAACACAGCUUGAUUAAAAGAGCAAUAGUAGAAUCAAAUCAGAUUGACUAACAUUAUUUUUCAUCCUUAAAAAAGGUAUGGAUUGUCAAAUUAUACAUAAACAUCCACAAACAUUAUUAAUGAAAAACAAAAAGACUUACAUUAAUAUACAAUCUUCUUCUACGUGUGAAAUGAUCUGAUCUCUGGGAAAAAUGUAGAGAUGGCGGCAAAGAAAGUGAAGUGGGCGUUGAAGCUACUGAUCGAUGAACAAGGAGGAUAUAUAGUGCAACCGUUUUGAAACCGCCAUUUAUAAGCAAGUAUAUAUGAGAUAUUCAACUAGGACAGGCUGUUCUGUUUUGCUGCAAAUAUUUAUAUUUUAUCAUUGAAAACAUAGCUGGUCCAAUAUUAUAACACGUUCUUGGUGUUUUUCCCGUAUUGACCAUGAUUUGUUUUCUGAUACGGAGAGUUUAAUGCUUGCAAAACGCAAAAUUUUAAUUCUGGGAACUUCACUAUUUAAUACAAUCACCAGAUACCUAUUACCUGCCAUACGGUUUAGGCAGAUAUAAGUUUCAAAUACUAAUAAAGUAUAAGUAAAAUUUUGUCCAAAAAAUUAAAAAUAAAAUAAAAUAAGUAAAAUGUCGUACACUCUUAAAACAAAAAAAUUAGAAGAAGAAACAAGAUUAAUUAGAAGAAGAAACAAGUUUCAAUUAGGAGUGUGUUCAAACUUUGAUUACUUAUUAAAAAAUCUUCUGCUUGACAAAUAUGUUAUGAAAUUUUAGUAAUAAUUUGUAUAACUCAAUGACGUGAACAAAAAAUUAGAAGAAGAAACAAGUUUCAAUUAGGACUGUGUUCAAACUUUGAUUACUUAUUAAAAAAAUCUUCUGCUUGACAAAUAUGUUAUGAAAUUUUAGUAAUAAUUUGUAUAACUCAAUGACGUGAACAAAAAAAAUUAGAAGAAGAAACAAGAUUAAUACAACAAACAUUUAUUUUGUUGACAGUUUAUGCCCAAAAUGUUAUAUCAUGCCAAUGUAUUUUUAUUUAGUAAUAUUAGAUAUGUAUCUAACUUUGUUUUAGUAAAAAGAGCAGAAAUGCAGGAUGAACAUAUCUACAGAAACAGCCUACAGUGUUAAUGGUUUUUAAUAGAAUAAUUUUAUCAUUUUUACUAUGUAUAGAAAUAAAUAUAUUUUUGCUAGAAAAUCAUUCACUGAUUCUAGAAUGAUUGCAACAUAGAAGAGAGACUGCAUAACUGAACCACAAAGAGAUUACAGUGAUCUUUUCCAAUCCUAACAUAAAAGAGUUUUUCUACAGAUUUUCAAGAGGCAUUUUCACACAACAAAACGUGAAAUAAAUAUUUAUUGUAAAGUGAUAGUAAGGCUCAUGACUUCCAACUGUAAAUUUUGUGUAACAUAAUUAUAUAUUAAUAUAAAACUUGUUUGUUUUUUCUAGCUUAGUUGAUCUCACGAUUACAAACCAUAGAGGAUGUUGACAAAACCUGAAGAAAGUUAACAGGCAUAUAUGAAGCCAUUAGUAAAUUAAAUGAAAAUUUAUUUUCAAACAAAAAUAAGAGGUGAUGGUACAUUUUUAGUCUACUUAUCUUGAAAGAAGGCAAACGUUUUUAAAUGGAAGGAAAAAAAACUGAACUGAUGGUAUUCCACAUUUUUCAGUAUAUUGAGCUAAUUUGCUCAAAAUCUUAAAGGGUAAAACUGAUCAACCAUGUGUAACUCAUAAAUCAUAGGUUUGGAACAAUGAAAUCCUAAUUCAGAUAUUUAACUACUAAUAAAGUAAUUAUCACAAUUUUUCGGCGGAUUUCAGUAACUACCUCACUUGUUGCCCUGAACCAACCGAUAGAGAAGAAUAUUUCUUUUAAAAUCGGUACACAGACAUUUUCAUUUCAAUAGCAUUAGAACAUCAAAAUAUCAAAUGAAGAACAAAUUAAGUUGCUAGAAACAAGAAGACAAGAGAAAAAUAGAAACAAAGGGCUUCUUAUAACAAAAUAUACUAUUGGGACCGUUCUACUAUCACUUUUUGUGUUCUCAUUGUCUUCAUUUUCACCGGACAUUUCCUCAAGCGACUUCCCUUUAGAUUCAGGUACCAAGAAAGUGAAGAGAAUACCCAAGAAGUUAACCACACCUAACACGAGAAGCGAGUUCCUGACUCCAAUACCUGGAGGGUAUCCUGCGUCUGUCUUGUUCUUGUCAGGGCUUUGAGCCAAGUACAAGAACCCAAACGCACCAACCAUCGCACCUAGUUUACCUGAUGCAGCAGAGAUACCAUGGCAGGUAGAUCUGAACCUGGCUGGGAAGAUCUCCGCCGGUACAACGAAGGUUGUAGCAUUGGGUCCAAAGUUAGCAAAAAAGAACGUCAAAGAGUACAUGAUAACGAAUCCAAUUCGGUUCUCCUUGUGAGUCCAGUGGUUAUACGGAAUAGCCAAAGCAAACAUAAAGACCGUCAUGAAGAAGAAUCCCAUCAUCUGAAUCGCAAACCUUCCAAUGACGUCUAUAAAAGCAACUGUGAACCAGUAACCAGGUACCGUGCUACACAAGGCAAUGAGAGUUUGCGCGCGUGCGAUCUUGAAAACUUCUUGAAUUGCGUUCAUAGUUUGAGCCGGAGGUAUCCACCCGAUUGCGCUGAAAAUAUCUUUUUGGAAUAGGUUUUGACUGUAGAAAGCGAUGUCGAGAAGGAACCAUGUUGAUGUAGUUCCUAGCAAAUGAAGUCCAUGGCGUUUCAUAAAUUCCUUGGAAAACAAGGAAAAGGCUUUGGACUUAUUAUUUGAGAUCUCUUCCACUUUCUCCUGUUCUGCCUCUAUCUCCACUUGAAGAACCCUAGACAUGUCUGAAGCAGCCAGCUUUGCGUCCUUAGCAACCAAAGCUGUGUAUCUUGCGGUUUCAGGCAUCUUGGACCUAAUUUUUUAUAUUUUCUAAACAAAAACAUCAUUAAUUAUUUACCUAACCACAAUUCAACCAAUAAAAAAAUAGAAGAUAUAUUAUCAUUGGUCAUACAACAUUAAUUAUUAAUAAAUUUUACAUAGAAAACCGAAAAUGACAUAUAAUUUGGAACAAAAAAAUUUAUCUAAAACGACUUAUAUUAAAAAACGGAGGGAGUAUAUAUUAAUAUUAUAAAUUAAUUUCCAUUAGAAAAUUAAAUGAAAUUCAUGUUUCUAUAGAUAAUUGGCAUUCAAUUCCUGAUAUUAAUCUAUUUAUUCUCUAAUUGUUAACUACGCAACAUAAUUCCCUAAAUGUGUAUAUUCACUUAACAAAGUUAGACGUUUUAAAAUAUUUCAUAUUAACAUGUUUAUUUCUAAUUAUUGACGACGCAAUAUAAAGCUAAAUGUAUAUUUACUUAACAAAAUUAGGCAUAAAAGAAAUUUACAUUAAACACUAAUUUGUCUAUCUUUUACUUUCUUUUAACCUGUUUAAUUAUUUUAUAAUCGUUGAAUACACUCUACAACUUUUUAAAAUGUUUAUUGACUUUAAAGACGUUUAAAAAACAACAUUAAACACUAAGACUCCGAUUGGUGACUAUUUUGAAAAUAAGAAAAACGAAUAAGAAAGAAACGUAAAAGAAUAUAAUUGUAGAAAUGGUUGUUCUAUCCAAUAUUUGACAAGAAAUAAUUUUGUUUUCAUUUCUCUUAAAAAAAGAAAUAGUAGAGAAUGAAAUUGAAAAAUUAUUUUUUAUGAAAGGUGAUUUUUUUUAGAAAUAUAAGAGAAUGCAUUAUUACUCGUUGUUCUUUAGUAAAUUUUUUAUCAAUGUUAGAUUUUCUUUCUCUCAAAUUCUUGAUUAUUUAUUCCCUAAUUAUUGAUUCCGCCACAUAAUUCUCUAAAUAUGGUAAAAUCAGAUAUUUAGAAAAUCUACGCUAAACGCUAACAAAAAAGAAAAAUCUACACUAAACACUAGUGAAUAUCUUUAGUCUAAUUUUGGUUUUUUAUCUUUUUGUCGUAUAUUGUCCCAAAUUAGAUGUCGAAACGUCUCUAACUCUCACGAUUAUUCAAAUUUUAGCAAAAUAAAAAACUCUCACGAUUAUAUGUAUUUUUAAAAAAAUUUAUCGCAAGCUAGGUUAUUACAUUAAAGCCUAGCUUCAUGUCUUUGUGAGCUUACUUCUUCCUUGGGUUGAAGAGCUUAAAUGUCAAUUGUUGUUCCUCUGUUCAACCGGUUUUACUAUCUAUCAAUUACACAUUCGUAGUUAUAUAAAUCAAAAAAAUUCAACAAAACCAAAAAUAUUAUUUACUCAGAGAUUUGACCUGAAAUCGAUACAUGAACAUUUAAUUUGAUUUCAAUAGCAUUAGAACAUCAACAUAUCACACGAAGAAGAACUUAAGUUGUCAAAAAAACAAGAACAAAAAAAAAACAAAGGACAUAUUUCAACUACACCAUUUCGACAGUUCUACUAUCGUUGUUGUUCUGCUCAUUGCUUUCAUUUUCACCAGACAUUUCUUCAAGCGAUUUGCCUUUGGAUUCAGGCACCAAGAAAGUGAAGAGAAUACCCAAGAAGUUAAUCACACCCAACACGAGAAGCGAGUUCCUGACCCCAAUCCCUGGAGGGUAUCCUGCGUCUGUCUUGUUCUUGUCAGGGCUUUGAGCCAAGUACAAGAAUCCAAACGCACCAACCAUCGCACCAAGCUUUCCUGAUGCGGCAGAGAUACCAUGACAUGUUGAUCUGAACCUAGCUGGGAAGAUUUCUGCCGGCACGACGAAUGUUGUAGCAUUGGGUCCAAAGUUAGCAAAAAAGAAUGUUAAGGAGUACAUGAUAACGAAUCCAAUGCGGUUGUCCUUGUGAGUCCAGUGGUUGUACGGAAUAGCCAAAGCGAACAUAAAGACCGUCAUGAAAAAGAAUCCCAUCAGCUGAAUGGCGAAUCUUCCAAUGACGUCAAUGAACACAACUGUGAACCAGUAACCAGGAACCGUGCUACACAAGGCGAUGAGGGUUUGCGCACGCGCGAUCUUGAAAACUUCUUGAACCGCGUUCAUGGUCUGAGCCGGAGGGAUCCACCCGAUCGCGCUGAAAAUAUCUUUCUGGAAAAGGUUUUGACUGUAGAAAGCGAUGUCGAGAAGGAACCAUGUUGAUGUAGUGCCAAGCAAGUGAAGUCCAUGGCGUUUCAUGAAUUGCUUGGAAAACAAGGAAAAGGAUUUGGACUUAUCCGUUGAAAUCUCUUCCAAAAUCUGUUCCGGCUCUAUCUCCACUUGCAGAACCCUAGACAUGUCUGAAGCAGCUUGCUGUGCGUUUUUAGCAACCAAAGCUGUGUAUCUCGCGGUUUCCGGCAUCUUGGACCUUGAGUAAUACGUCAUCGACGCAGGGAUAGCACCAAACAUGAGGAUUAUACGCCAUACAAAAUCUGCUUGAGGUACCGUGGAUCUCAAGGCAUCAUCCGCAUAGGCCGGCGCUGGGAACUUAGCAUCAAAUAUAGAGGAAAUGAUAAUAGCAAAGAUGCCACCAGCCAUGAUCCCAAACCCUUGCAUUGCGAAAACAGCUGA